UUGCCGAUGCCAAACUGCCGGACAUGCAGGCCGGCUGGGAACAGGCGAUCUCCAACACCAUGGCGGGACUGAGCGGCCUCAACAUGGUCUAUGAAUCUG
rfam:Hoeflea sp. IMCC20628, complete genome.